rnacentral:rRNA from 1 species
ACAGAGUAUAGAUUACCACCGUAGCGAAAUGCGCUACUUCCUGNGAAUUNCGGAAUUCAGUGCAUCAUCGAAUCUUUGCACGCAUAUUGCG